rnacentral:tRNA from 1 species
GGUGAUGUGGCUCAGUUGGUAGUGUUUGGCUGGCAUGCAUGAAUCUCUGGGUUCAAUACCCAGCACCACCU